AACAUUAAAUACAAACGCAAAUACUUGUAGUUCAAAAUAUUUAAAUUACAAAACCAAAUGCAGAUACUUCAAAUUUUGUUUUUAAAUGUCUGGUCAGGUGUUAAACUAUUACAUUUACAAUGUAUUCCCCCUCUAAAUCACAAAUAUUUUACAGAUGCAGCAAGUGUCUUUGCAGAAAUGAAAAAGGCACUACACAGCAAAAGUCUACCAAUAAAACAGAAACAAUAUCCUUUAAAAAAGGAAGAAAGAAAAGUACUAAAGGUUAGGGUUAGACCUAUGGAGUGGAAAGAACGAACAAAAAACCAGGGGGGAAAGUACAUCAAGGUCAUCAUGGAAGAAGAGCCUCCCAGACUUCUGAUGCAAGAGACUGAUGGGUACAACGGCAUCAUUCUAAUGGUAAAGAAGCCUUGUGGAAUAAUCCACAAAUGAAAGAAGGAACAUUCACUCUUUGCCAUGCGGAUGGUACUCGGUGGCCUAUAGAGGAUUUUGAAAAGGAACAUGCAAGCCUUAGUGAGAUUAAGGAUGUCUGGAAAAAAACCUUCUACAUUGGACACAGACCCAUAGGAAGAAGUUAGCGGUUUGGAACACUCAAUUGCAGAACAAAAAAGGAACCGCAAAACAAACUAUGUGGAAGAGGCAAGUAUUGCAUUUCUUCAAAACACACAUUUUAAUCAUUGUAU